UACGUAGGGUGCAAGCGUUAAUCAGAAUUACUGGGCGUAAAGCGUGCGCAGGCGGUCGUUCAAGUCGCGUGUGAAAGCCCCCGGCUCAACUGGGGAGGGUCACGCGAUACUGAUCGACUCGAAGGCAGGAGAGGGUAGUGGAAUUCCCGGUGUAGUGGUGAAAUGCGUAGAUAUCGGGAGGAACACCAGUGGCGAAGGCGACUACCUGGCCUGUUUCUUGACGCUGAGGCGCGAAAGCUAGGGGAGCAAACGGG
rnacentral:rRNA from 1 species